rnacentral:rRNA from 1 species
GUGAACGCUGGCGGUAGGCCUAACACAUGCAAGUCGAACGGCAGCACAGUAAGAGCUUGCUCUUACGGGUGGCGAGUGGCGGACGGGUGAGGAAUACAUCGGAAUCUACUUUUUCGUGGGGGAUAACGUAGGGAAACUUACGCUAAUACCGCAUACGACCUACGGGUGAAAGCAGGGGAUCUUCGGACCUUGCGCGAUUGAAUGAGCCGAUGUCGGAUUAGCUAGUUGGCGGGGUAAAGGCCCACCAAGGCGACGAUCCGUAGCUGGUCUGAGAGGAUGAUCAGCCACACUGGAACUGAGACACGGUCCAGACUCCUACGGGAGGCAGCAGUGGGGAAUAUUGGACAAUGGGCGCAAGCCUGAUCCAGCCAUACCGCGUGGGUGAAGAAGGCCUUCGGGUUGUAAAGCCCUUUUGUUGGGAAAGAAAAGCAGCAGGUUAAUACCCCGCUGUUCUGACGGUACUCAAAGAAUAAGCACCGGCUAACUUCGUG